UACCAGUAUCCACUCAAGUAGGACCUAGAUUAUCUUCUUCUCAUGAAUCUUUGCUCCAAAAAUUAGAUCUGGAUCUAAUCUGAAAGAUCUUCAAAAGAUCUUCUGAAGCUGGAGCAGCAGCUUCUCGAUAAAUCUCUGCAGCCUUCUAAUCAAAGAGCCACCACGCCUUGGACAAGCUCCAGAUGGAUGCCCAACCUCUUGGAUGUGAAGAGGGGAGGGAGA
rnacentral:lncRNA from 1 species